rnacentral:lncRNA from 1 species
AGAACAGUUAAUUUCUGCAGUAGGAGGAGGUCGAUGUACUCCAUUCUUAAGUAGUCGUUUGAAAUAUUUCAGGAUUUGAGGAUAUUCCUUCUUAGACAUGGUCCUGCAGAGUCGUAGGAAGCAUUUGUUUCUGGGCUAUACUAAAUGUGCAUGAUUUCGGCGUCCCACAAGGAUCCAAGGAUUCUGUAGCUACAAUGUUGUCAAGACUUUUUCGAAUGCAUGGCCUCUUUGUGGCCUCCCAUCCCUGGGAAGUCAUAGUGGGGACAGUGACACUGACCAUCUGCAUGAUGUCCAUGAACAUGUUUACUGGUAACAAUAAGAUCUGUGGUUGGAAUUAUGAAUGUCCAAAGUUUGAAGAGGAUGUUUUGAGCAGUGACAUUAUAAUUCUGACAAUAACACGAUGCAUAGCCAUCCUGUAUAUUUACUUCCAGUUCCAGAAUUUACGUCAACUUGGAUCAAAAUAUAUUUUGGGUAUUGCUGGCCUUUUCACAAUUUUCUCAAGUUUUGUAUUCAGUACAGUUGUCAUU